GGGAAAGUGGCAGUUAGUGGGGUGGGAACAGUUAGGAAGGGUGAAAGUAGGAAGGGGAGAAAGUAUGAACUAGAAAGAGAGGAUGGCCGAUUUAGGUGCACUGGAGAGACAGCAUGCAUCCAUCCACCCAAUGAAGCAGGAAUAAGCAGGAAGCUUAUUGAGGAUCUGGGAAAUCACCACACAUAGCUGUUUAUAUUCAGCUCCCUUGAGGACAUCUCUAUCAUGGGCCCUCACAAUUUUUCAGCCAUAGCUUAUGGCAGGCAAUUGCUACCAUCUUCAGAAGCAUUUGUCAUAACCAUGCUCAGGAGACAAAGAUAUGCACAGUUAGUUCCAAGUGUCCAAUGGAUUGUGUAGAUCCCAGAUUAA